AUAUUGGGCGUAAGCGAGCGCAGGCGGUUUCUUAAGUCUGAUGUGAAAGCCCCCGGCUCAACCGGGGAGGGUCAUUGGAAACUGGGAGACUUGAGUGCAGAAGAGGAGAGUGGAAUUCCAUGUGUAGCGGUGAAAUGCGUAGAUAUAUGGAGGAACACCAGUGGCGAAGGCGGCUCUCUGGUCUGUAACUGACGCUGAGGCUCGAAAGCGUGGGGAGCAAACAGGAUUAGAUACCCUGGUAGUCCACGCCGUAAACGAUGAGUGCUAAGUGUUGGAGGGUUUCCGCCCUUCAGUGCUGCAGCUAACGCAUUAAGCACUCCGCCUGGGGAGUACGACCGCAAGGUUGAAACUCAAAGGAAUUGACGGGGGCCCGCACAAGCGGUGGAGCAU
rnacentral:rRNA from 1 species